UUAGGAUUAGCAAUGAGUCAAAUCGAGUUCAAAUAUUGUGAUUAUGCAACUAUGCAAAUAGAAGAGAUAAACUAUGAGAGAGAGUGUGUGUGAAUAUGUUGUACACCGUGCAAAAGAUGGGUAAACAACCAAUAGUGAGAGACAGAGAGAGAGAACAUACACAAUCUGUCCCUCUCUCUCUUUUUCAGACACACACUCUAUCUGUCUCUCUCUUUCACACACAAACAAAUGUAUACCUUUUUUGGUCAACAAUUACAAUUGCAAUACUAACACCGAGGGAGCUAUACAAAUCUUUUGGCAAGUAUUUCAUAAAAUGCAGGAGAAGAACUUCAGUUUCAGACUUCUAAGUGAUUACCACGUCAAAGUAAUAAAAUCUUUAAGGAUAGCCCUCUUCUCGUCAUUGUAGUGAAGAAAAAAUGCGAGACCACCAACUCCACCCAAAACAGUACCAUGCUGCAAAAGACAAACUAAGUGAAUAAAAAUGGCAGGGAAAAAACAAACUAAUAAAAAGAUGUGUGAACAGGAGAAUUAAAAGAAAGCAAGAAAGUUCAGUCAUAAAAGGUUUUCAAAGAAAAGAGCAAGUUAAUUAGCAUACAACUAUAUAAGGUCUCCAGGAAUUAGAGGUGUUUUUUGGAGGCAAUAAAGGACGAGAGUUUGUGCUCUUUGCUGAUUGCAAACAUCUGCCAGAGUGGAAACUCUUACAGGGAAUAAACCUACAGUAGUAUAAAAAGAAACAAUAUCAUUAGCUUUAAUGUGCCAAGAAGGAGGUUCAGGGCUGUGUCUCUGUGUGUGUGUGCGUGAGAGAGAGAGAUCCCAGGAAGGAAAAGAAGACUUGCAAGCUUAGAAGAGGAUUUAUGUUUUACAACUUCAUUCUGCCACAACAUUUUGUCUCAUUUGAAUAACUCUAACAAAUAUCCUCAAGAUUAGACUAUUUCACUUUUCUUGCACAUACUGAGCCCCAACCAUAUAAACAAAACUCAAUUGAACUCAAUUUGAAUAUGUGCAUGAACAUGCAUCAACAAAUUGACAUGCCAUCAAUGUCAGCAGCAAGAUUGUAUAGUGAAAAAUUAGUCAUGUACAUACACAAAAAAAAAAAAAAUGCAUAGGUUCCUCAUUAAAUCCAAAAGCCUCAAGUCCAAGUCUUAAAACAUUCAAGCUUUAUAUAUUGAUGAAAGUUUGUGUGUACUAAAUCACGAGAACAGGAAUAAUGGCGAAUCAGAGGGACAUCUCUACCCAGAGAGUUGCAUUUUCUUUUCAAUAUCCUGCAGAAGUCUCCUAGAGUAGUUCAACGUGCUUUGAAAUGUUCUGAUUGAACAAUAAGAAACUCGCUCAUCCAGGUCAUGCAAAAAUUUAGUAAAAUUACUGGCAAAAUGAAAUUUCUAAUGAUAUCUCAGAAAAAACCAACUAAGUUGGUCUUUGCCUCCACAAAGAAUCUUCAUCAGCAACUUAAACAGGAAAUGGCAGUUUCUAACCAUCCAUCUGACAUCCUUCAGCACGAUAGUUUUUAUAGCUGACAACCUGACCAGUAAUAGAAUACUCCGUUUCUUAUUCAAGUCCACUAACACUAAAUUCAUCAUCAGUUUAUUUCUACAUAUCUUGAUGAUAAUCCACCUCUGCUGUGAUACAUCACCAGAGAGAUAAUAAUAAAAAAAAAUCACUGCCAAAAUGCCUAACAUGAUAAGUACUGGAUAUCCUCCUUAAAACGCAUUCAUUAUGAUUGAAAUGAAAUAUGCUUUCAUAUCUCUCAAUCUUACCGCACAGAUAAUAAAACUUUGAUAUCUAUAAUCUACACAGAGAGAAUAAGGGUAAUGAAUAUUUUUACAUAACCAAUUGUACAUCUCUUAUGUUGAUUCGAUCAGCAAAUAUGGCAAACGUUCAAGGAUUGGCAAAACAACGAAGUCAUGCAGAAUAAUCACAUUGCCCAAGUAAUGCAGAAUACUGCCUUGGAAUCUCUUACUCUUCUAAAUCAAACAAACAAACCUCAUAAGAUACAUGCUAUUUUGUACGUUCUAAGCCUCCAUUAUUUUAGAUUUACCAUUUCGCAUUUUCAACCGCUCAAGCUAAGAACAGUUGACUAAAAAUCUAUAUGAGCCCAUUUCCAACGAGACUUUGCAAACUCCUCCUUGGCCAUAAUGCAUUAAGGAAAUCUCAGAAAAACUUGAAAAUUAAACUCAACCCAGAAGAAAACUAAAGAGUUGAAUUGCAGAGUAAUCAAACAAACAAAAAUCAUCACCUGAAAUAAAUUACUAAACAAAGCUCACAUGCUUAAACAUGAAAACAAACUAUACCCACAAAAAAAAUCUAUCAAAAUAUGCCAAAAAAAACAACAUAGAUAUGUGAUGUGUUAUACCUUUUUAGAGUAUUAAAGGAUUCUGCAGAGAGAUUUCUUAAGAAGGAGAAGAUAACCCUUGACAUUGAUAUUGGUACUGAUACUUUUUCCCCCCCUUUUCCUUCUCAAUUUUCUACUUUCUUUUACAAAUUUGGCACAUGGGUAAGUGGGGUUUUCUUUAUUUUGCAAUAAAUUUUGCCUGACCACAAACAGAAUGCAAGAAUACAGAAAAUAGGUUCACAAAAAUCUGUAAUAUUCUUCACCAAAAACAAUGUUCAAGUUGGCCAUUUAAAGGUAAAAAAAGGAAGGAGAAAAUCGCAUCUAACAGUAUGAAACCAAAACAGACAUGCAAAGAUGAAUCCUCCCAAAUUUUAUCAGAGGCAUACAAGGCAAUGACAAAAUGUAAUUACAACCUCCCACCCAAAUAUUCAGUAGAUAGCCCAACCCAAGCUAGAAAUUUCCAUCUUCAAUGAUGUCAGUGACCCAUUUGGCAACGUGGUAAUUAGAAAAAAAAAAAAGAAAUGCUAAAAAGUAUCGAUUAGGCCAACCUCAGGUAGUUUACUGUAGCUGAAUAAUGAAACGGGUCAGAUGAAAUGCCCGAAUUGGCUGAACAGAGAAUCCAAGAUGUCUAUCUUUCUUUAUUGAUAGAAAGAAACAACAUCAAAAUUGAC
rnacentral:lncRNA from 1 species